UACGGAGGGGGUAAGCGUUAUCCGGAUUCACUGGGUUUAAAGGGUGCGUAGGUGGGCAAGUAAGUCAGUGGUGAAAUCUCCGGGCUUAACCCGGAAACUGCCAUUGAUACUAUUUGUCUUGAAUACUGUGGAGGUCAGCGGAAUAUGUCAUGUAGCGGUGAAAUGCUUAGAUAUGACAUAGAACACCAAUUGCGAAGGCAGCUGGCUACACAAAUAUUGACACUGAGGCACGAAAGCGUGGGGAUCAAACAGG
rnacentral:rRNA from 1 species